rnacentral:lncRNA from 1 species
ACAGACUGCCGGUCAGUGUCAGCAGGCGGUGGGUUAGGGUCCGCAGGCCCAGACCAGGCCGCCGACACCAAUAAGCUACAAGGAGGAGCUUUACCGCUGCCUGUACUACUACUGCCUGCGCUACUUCCCAGCCUGCGGCGUAGGGCGCAGCAAGGGCCUGACGCUUAGCGAGCAGGCGCUGCGCACCAAGCGGCUGUCGCCUGGAGGGCACGUUCAGGCAGAAGCUCCUCAGUGGCCACAAGUCCGCUAGCUCCGGCUACAGCCCUUGCCGCACACUCGCGUCACCUGAGCCUGUGAUGCCGAAGGACCUGUUCAAAGUAUUUUCUGUAACUCCAACUGUAACUUGGUUCUAGGAGGAGAGAAUCCAUGUUUGGUCAACAGAACUUUUCGCCGCCACUUAAGUUUACUGCUUCAAUAUCUUUUCCUUACUAAUUGAUUGUUAAUUAAGUAGUGUCCAAGUGAGUUAGCCUUUUUAGGGUUGAUUAAUUAAAAGAGCAGCAAGAAUGGCAUUUU